AUACAAAUUAAAUAAAAAGAAGAAAAAAUGUAGAAGAAGAAAAGCGGGACAAAGACAGAGUAUUGGGUGACCUACGUUCCUGUGGUGGUGAACAUGACUGCGAGUUCUCCAGAAGAACAAAUGCUGUAUUAUUACAGUGCUCCAGUACAUGUGGUGCCUCCUCAGCAGUACUCAGUCCAUCCCACAGGAUUCAAUACAUGCUACACUCUACUCCCUGAACCUACUACCCCAACAAAUGUGUCUGCUGCAGGGAUGUUCUACUAUAAUGAUCAGGCCGUGUACAACCAGACUCCAUUCCCAAUGGUCCCUCCACUGCAGCAACAUCCAUCUACCAAGAGGAAGAGGAAAAC